GAUGAACGCUGGCGGCGUGCCUAAUACAUGCAAGUCGAGCGAACAGACGAGGAGCUUGCUCCUCUGACGUUAGCGGCUGACGGGUGAGUAACACGUGGAUAACCUACCUAUAAGACUGGGAUAACUUCGGGAAACCGGAGCUAAUACCGGAUAAUAUAUUGAACCGCAUGGUUCAAUAGUGAAAGACGGUUUUGCUUUCACUUAUAGAUGGAUCCGCGCCGCAUUAGCUAGUUGGUAAGGUAACGGCUUACCAAGGCGACGAUGCGUAGCCGACCUGAGAGGGUGAUCGGCCACACUGGAACUGAGACACGGUCCAGACUCCUACGGGAGGCAGCAGUAGGGAAUCUUCCGCAAUGGGCGAAAGCCUGACGGAGCAACGCCGCGUGAGUGAUGAAGGUCUUCGGAUCGUAAAACUCUGUUAUUAGGGAAGAACAAAUGUGUAAGUAACUAUGCACGUCUUGACGGUACCUAAUCAGAAAGCCACGGCUAACUACGUG
rnacentral:rRNA from 1 species